GGAAGGAUAGUUUCAAUGGUAAAAUGGCGGUCUCCAAAACCGGCGUUGGGGGUUCGAGCCCCUCUCCUUCUG
rnacentral:tRNA from 1 species